AAGAACGCCCGGGCUUCGGCCUGGUUAUUCAUAACCCUUUGUUGUCCGACUCUGUUGCCUCCGGGGCGACCCUGCCUUCGGGCGGGGGCUCCGGGUGGACACUUCAAACUCUUGCGUAACUUUGCAGUCUGAGUAAACUUAAUCAAUAAAUUAAAACUUUUAACAACGGAUCUCUUGGUUCUGGCAUCGAUGAAGAACGCAGCGAAAUGCGAUAAGUAAUGUGAAUUGCAGAAUUCAGUGAAUCAUCGAAUCUUUGAACGCACAUUGCGCCCCCUGGUAUUCCGGGGGGCAUGCCUGUUCGAGCGUCAUUUCACCACUCAAGCCUCGCUUGGUAUUGGGCAACGCGGUCCGCCGCGUGCCUCAAAUCGUCCGGCUGGGUCUUCUGUCCCCUAAGCGUUGUGGAAACUAUUCGCUAAAGGGUGUUCGGGAGGCUACGCCGUAAAACAACCCCAUUUCUAAGGUUGACCUCGGAUCAGGUAGGGAUACCCGCUGAACUUAA
rnacentral:rRNA from 1 species